GCAAUCAGUGUCGGGAACUUCUGCAGGGCACUUCAGAAUCAGUGUCGGGGAACUUCGGCAUUCUAUUUUUCACGGACACAGACAGGAACACUGAGAUGCAAAAGCAAAACAAUCAAAAAGCAUUUUUAUUUGUUUUCCAGGUAGUAGGAAACCCGAGUUCCAGAUUCCCAUCCUUCUGAAGCCAGGAGGGAGGUUCCUAAGAGGAGGUUAGGACAAGAUGGAGACUUCUUUUUAAACUAGCAGAUUUCGCAAAUUGCGACACAUACAUUAUCUAGUCCACGCAAAGGACAGGCCUUGGGGACAGGGCAAGGGGAACGUGUUCCACCUGCACGACUGAAUUAGAAGUCUCUCCCCCAUCAAUUGAACGCCUCACUAUUUUUCAUUGUCUUUUCUUUCUUUUUAAGGUAAAUGAAUUGCUUCUUUUUCGUUAGGUGAGGCAGGCAGAGACCAAGAAGAGCUGAAGCGGAGGCGAGGUUAGUACCCAGCAAAGACCCGUGGCGAGGAGAGACAAUGAAGAGGACCAUGGGACUGGACCCUGAGAAAGGCAAAGGAGACGCUGGCUGGCUGGGCCCGCAGGCGGACAGCCACGCAGGCAGGCGGAGGGCUCGGCUCGGCCUGGGACCGCUGCAGACCCGGCCUCCGCGCGGGGCCAAGCCGCCUGGGUGGGACCGAGGAGGCGGGGCCUUCCCCGUGGACGGGUGAUGGACAGACCGUCUCUCCAAUCGCGUCCUUAAAAGGGCGAGGGCAGGCCAAUGAGCGGACAGCGAGGGCCGGAGCCGGGCUGAGGCUUGGGUGCAGAGCUGGCGAGCCGCGGCUGGGGCCGGAGUGGGGAGCGCAGCGUGGAGGUGCCACCCGGCGCGGGUGGCGGAGAGAUCAUCAGAACCGUCUUCCCCAAGCCGAGCCAACCUCAGCGGGGACCGGGGCUUAGGGGCGCGGCGGCGGCGACUGCAGCGGUUGGACGAUGGCAGCGGCCGCCGGAGCCGGGGCGGUGAUUGCAGCCCCAGACAGUAGUCGCUGGCUGUGGUCGGUGCUGGCGGCGGCGCUCGGGCUCUUGACAGCUGGAGUAUCAGCCUUGGAAGUAUAUACACCAAAAGAAAUCUUCGUGGCAAAUGGUACACAAGGGAAGCUGACCUGCAAGUUCAAGUCUACUGAUGAGACUGGCGGGUUGACCUCAGUCACGUGGAGCUUCCAGCCAGAGGGGGCUGACACUACCGUGUCGUUUUUCCACUACUCCCAAGGGCAAGUGUACCCUGGGAAUUAUCCACCAUUUAAAGACAGAAUCAGCUGGGCUGGAGACCUUGACAAGAAAGAUGCAUCAAUCAACAUAGAAAAUAUGCAGUUUAUACACAAUGGCACCUAUAUUUGUGAUGUCAAAAACCCUCCUGACAUCGUUGUCCAGCCUGGACACAUUAGGCUCUAUGUCGUAGAAAAAGAGAAUUUGCCUGUGUUUCCAGUUUGGGUAGUGGUGGGCAUAGUUACUGCUGUGGUCCUAGGUCUCACUCUGCUCAUCAGCAUGAUUCUGGCUGUCCUCUAUAGAAGGAAAAACUCUAAACGGGAUUACACUGGAUCCUGCUUAUCUUCCACUUCUUAAGAAAAGCUGACAUAGAAGACACAUUGGGACUAUAACAGGGCUGGGUCUCCUCUUCCACUCCCACUAGACACAUGCUGCAGUACAUCAGAGAGUUUGUCACCAGUUAAGCAGGCUCCUCGGAAGUCCCCCUCCGACACUGAGGGUCUUGUAAAGAGUCUGCCUUCUGGAUCUCACCAGGGCCCAGUCAUAUAUGCACAGUUAGACCACUCCGGCGGACAUCACAGUGACAAGAUUAACAAGUCAGAGUCUGUGGUGUAUGCGGAUAUCCGAAAAAAUUAAGAGAAGACCUAGAACAUAUCCUCAGCAAGAAACAAAACCAAACUGGACUCUCGUGCAGAAAAUGUAGCCCAUUGCACAUGCAGCCUUGGAGACCCAGGCAAGGACAAGCCCAUGUGUACUCACGGAGGGAGAGAAAGAUGUGUACAAAGGAUACGUAUAAAUAUUCUAUUUAAUCUUCCUCAUGUGAGGAGCCAGUGUUGCAUGAUGAAAAGAUGAUAUGAUUCUACAUAUGUACCCAUUGUCUUGCUGUUUUCGUACUUUCUUUUCAGGUCAUUUACAAUUGGGAGAUUUCAGAAACAUUCCUUUCACCAUCAUUUAGAAAUGGUUUGCCUUAAUGGAGACAAUAGCAGAUCCUGUAGUAUUUGCAGUAGACAUGGCCUUUUAAUCUAAGGGCUUAAUCAGUCUUAGCAUUUAUUGUAGUUGGAGGAUGGGGAUGCUAUGAUGGAAGCAUACCCAGGAGCCUUUAACACAGUACCAGUACCAUUUAUUUGUCUGCAGCUUUUAAAAAACAUCCAUUGGCUAUGCCACUUGAAAACAAUUUGAGAAGUUUUUUUGAUGUUUUUCUCACUAAAAUAUGGGGCAAUUUUUAGCCUUACAUGUUGUGUAGACUUACUUUAAGUUGCACCCUUGAAAUGUGUCCUUUCAAUUUCUGGAUUCAUAAUGCAAGAUUAGCAAAGGAUAAAUGCCGAAGGUCACUUCAUUCUGGAUACUGUUGGAUCAAUACUGAUUAAGUAGAAAAAUCCAAGCUUUGCUUGAGAACUUUUGUAAAAUGGAGAGUAAAAGGUAUCGGUUUUAUUCUUUGCUGAUGUCCUUUCUGCUUGAAAUAACAGUUACCAUACAGCUAAAGGAGAGGAGUUUCUUUCCUUCUAAGUAGGCAGAAAUGGGAUCAUUAUGUUGCCACUCGGCCACUCUCCAAUAUCCUAGAGCUUGCUCUCUAGAGAAUCACAUUCUUUUGCUUUUUUUCUUUCUCUUUUUCUUUUCUUUUUUUUUUUUUUUUUUGAGGUAGAGUCUCACUAUGUUGCCCAGACUAGCCUUGAACUCUUGGGCUCAAGUGAUUCUCCCUCCUCAGCCUCCCGAGUAGCUGGAACGAACUAUAGUUGCACCACCGCAGCUGGCAAGAGUCACCUUCUUUAUAAAGCGUCAGUCAUGCUUCCAGCAGGAAGCAGCAUCAGUCAUGGCUUUAUAACAGCUUCAUGGUGCCUCAAAGACUGUUGAGGUCAAUGAGAGCCUAGAUUAGAUAAUUUGGCUGUCCUUUCCUAAAACUUGUUUUCUCCCAUUCACUACUCCCCACCCCACUUAAAAUCUAUGAGUUUUUACUUUUUACUGGGAAUGGAAAGCAUGGUGAAGAUCAUUAAACACUUAUGUUGUCAUUUCUCCCAUUUUCUGGAUUUCUUUUUUAAUUUUCCCCCUUUUAAAAUUGUCCUAAAGCCCACAGUUACGGGAAGAAUACGGUCUAGAUGGUCUGCAGAACGUGUUUGGGGUGAGUGGGAGUGAGGGGCAAUGUUACUUUUCUCCCCUCUAGUUUGGAGUCCACUAUGAACUGCUGCUUUUUCUUCUCAUCUUGUUAUCUUCUGGGGAUGUUUGAAGGCUGAGUUCUAAGAGAAUUCGUAAAGGGAAUAAAACAGGAUUGAGAUUUCGAGGUGUGCACAAGGUGAUAAGAUAAAGGGCAUAUGAGCUUCAAAACUAACUGUCCCACACAUGAAGCCUUUUGUUUUUUGAGGAGCUAUUUUUGUUAUUCUUGUAACGCUCCACCUUACAUGCCACAUCCGUGUGAGUCAACAGGGAUCAGGUUUGGUCACCACAUACAUCUGAAGCUGGCCAGCGUCUGCUCUUUGUUCUGUGUGGAAUGGAGAAAAAUAUGCUUGCCCUGCUGCCUUCCAUGUUCAUAAGCCCAGCCCGAGAGAGUGACACACAGUGACAUAGUGCUGGCCCUGAGACAUUUCCCCAAAGUGCUCAACUCUGCCUUGCAUCCUAAAACUUUUUGGGCAUCUAUUUUGAAAACUAUGGGAGACUUUGGAAGGCGUCUUAUGUGUGUUUGGAGGGGAAGGGUGUUAGAUUGUCACCAUCCUUCAAGCUGAGACUCGUGGUGAGCCUUUGCCACCGUGAAAACCACAUAGCGGACCAAGGCUGUGCUUUGAGGUACAGAGGACACACAUUGUAGACAGGUCUGUGUCAUGUUUCCUUACAGUCGUUUUUUUACAGAGAAAAGGGGCGUUGUUUUUUCACUUCUUUCUCAACAGUUCCUGUGAAUAAACGAAACAUUUCGGUGCUCCCUAAGAGCAAGAGCCCUCACUUCUUCUUGCAGUGCCGGCACCAUGUGUUGGUGAAGCUGGUGCUCUGGGGGCCGCUCACUCAAAUGACACCUGGAGGCCGUUUCCUCCCUGAUCAUCCCCUUCCCCAGCCUGACUUUUUGGCCUCCUGCCCAACCAGACACCUCAAACUCUUGUCAGCGCCCUGGCAUUCUGGCAGAGAAUCCUCACCAGUUCUCACCAACCUUCUCCCCAGGCAAGAGAAGCUGCCAGCUUGGCACUCUGCCAGGAUGGGUUUCCCUGGAGGAAGCUGCUAACACUGAGAUGAGCCUCUCAGGGCAGGACCUCUUCCCAAGCCCCGCACACCCAGCCCUUUUGGCUCCCCUUUUUCCCCGUGCCUCAGCACUCCUUGCCUGGCUGCAGAUAACGAACUGGGGUUGCCUAAAGGGCAGAUCUGCCCUCUCCGUGUCUUCGUCCUGGCAGAAAGAGUCCUCUUAAAAUUAUGCGCUAAUUCUGUACGGGAGCAUGCAAAAGACAUUACUUAGAGAUUGAAAUUUCAAACUAUCUGUAGUUUUUCAAUGGAAAUGUAUCAGCUAGGGAAAAACCAUCAAGCUCAUUAUUAUUUUUUGAUUUUCAGUUGUAUUUUUGUGAAUAUUUUAAUACAUCUUUUUCAAUUUCUGGA